UGUGGGAGCGCGCUUGCUCGCGAUAGCGGUGUGUCAGUCACCUCUAAUUUGACUGAUCCAUCACCAUCGCGAGCAAGCUCGCUCCCACA
rnacentral:misc_RNA from 1 species